rnacentral:rRNA from 1 species
UACGUAGGGUGCAAGCGUUAAUCGGAAUUACUGGGCGUAAAGCGUGCGCAGGCGGUUUUGUAAGACUGUCGUGAAAUCCCCGGGCUUAACCUGGGAACUGCGCUUGUGACUGCAAGGCUAGAGUACGGCAGAGGGGGGUGGAAUUCCACGUGUAGCAGUGAAAUGCGUAGAUAUGUGGAGGAACACCGAUGGCGAAGGCAGCCCCCUGGGUCAAAACUGACGCUCAUGCACGAAAGCGUGGGGAGCAAACAGG